GAUGAACGCUGGCGGCGUGCCUAAUACAUGCAAGUCGAGCGAACAGACGAGGAGCUUGCUCCUCUGACGUUAGCGGCGGACGGGUGAGUAACACGUGGAUAACCUACCUAUAAGACUGGGAUAACUUCGGGAAACCGGAGCUAAUACCGGAUAAUAUAUUGAACCGCAUGGUUCAAUAGUGAAAGACGGUUUUGCUGUCACUUAUAGAUGGAUCCGCGCCGCAUUAGCUAGUUGGUAAGGUAACGGCUUCCAAGGCAACGAUGCGUAGCCGACCUGAGAGGGUGAUCGGCCACACUGGAACUGAGACACGGUCCAGACUCCUACGGGAGGCAGCAGUAGGGAAUCUUCCGCAAUGGGCGAAAGCCUGACGGAGCAACGCCGCGUGAGUGAUGAAGGUCUUCGGAUCGUAAAACUCUGUUAUUAGGGAAGAACAAAUGUGUAAGUAACUAUGCACGUCUUGACGGUACCCAAUCAGAAAGCCACGGCUAACUACGUG
rnacentral:rRNA from 1 species